rnacentral:rRNA from 1 species
UACGGGGGGAGCAAGCGUUGUUCGGAUUUACUGGGCGUAAAGGGCGCGUAGGCGGCGCAACAAGUCACUUGUGAAAUCUCUGAGCUUAACUCAGAACGGCCAAGUGAUACUGCAGUGCUAGAGUGUGGAAGGGGCAAUCGGAAUUCUUGGUGUAGCGGUGAAAUGCGUAGAUAUCAAGAGGAACACCUGAGGUGAAGACGGGUUGCUGGGCCAACACUGACGCUGAUGCGCGAAAGCCAGGGGAGCAAACGGG